rnacentral:rRNA from 1 species
CCUACGGGUGGCAGCAGUGAGGAAUAUUGGUCAAUGGGCGAGAGCCUGAACCAGCCAAGUCGCGUGAAGGAUGACUGCCCUACGUGUUGUAAACUUCUUUUGUCAGGGAGUAAUUGGUUCCACGCGUGGGCUUAGCGAGAGUACCUGAAGAAAAAGCAUCGGCUAACUCCGUGCCAGCAGCCGCGGUAAUACGGGGAAUGCGAGCGUUAUCCGGUUUUAUUGGGUUUAAAGGGUGCGUAGGGGGUAUAUCAGGUCGUCGGUAAAAUUUCGGGGCUCAACCCCGUCGUGCCGUUGAAACUGGUAGUCUUGAGUGGGCGAGAGGUAUGCGGAAUGCGUGGUGUAGCGGUGAAAUGCAUAGAUAUCACGAAGAACUCCGAUUGCGAAGGCAGCAUACCGGCGCCCAACUGACGCUGAAGCUCGAAAGCGUGGGUAUCGAACAGGAUUAGAUACCCUGGUAGUC